UACGAAGGGGGCUAGCGUUGCUCGGAAUGACUGGGCGUAAAGGGCGCGUAGGCCGCUUACAUAGUUAGGCGUGAAAUUCCUAGGCUCAACCUGGGGACUGCGUCUAAUACAUGUAGGCUUGAGUGUGAAAGAGGGUCGUGGAAUUUCCAGUGUAGAGGUGAAAUUCGUAGAGAUUGGAAAGAACACCGGUGGCGAAGGCGGCGACCUGGUUCAUUACUGACGCUGAGGCGCGAAAGAGUGGGGAGCAAACAGG
rnacentral:rRNA from 1 species